CCUACGGGUGGCAGCAGUGGGGAAUAUUGGGCAAUGGGCGCAAGCCUGACCCAGCAACGCCGCGUGAAGGAAGAAUGCUUUCUGGUUGUAAACUUCUUUUCUCAUGGACGAAGCAAGUGACGGUACCUGCGUAAUAAGCCACAGCUAACUACAUGCCAGCAGCCGCGGUAAUACGGAGGUGGCAAGCGUUAUCCGGAUUUACUGGGUGUAAAGGGCGUGUAGGCGGGACUGCAAGUCAGAUGUGAAAACCAUCGGCUCAACCUAUGGCCUGCAUUUGAAACUGUAGUUCUGGAGUACUGGAGAGGCAGACGGAAUUCCUAGUGUAGCGGUGAAAUGCGUAGAUAUUAGGAGGAACACCAGUGGCGAAGGCGGUCUGCUGGACAGCAACUGACGCUGAGGCGCGAAAGCGUGGGGAGCAAACAGGAUUAGAUACCCUUGUAGUC
rnacentral:rRNA from 1 species